AUGAGGAUGAAUAUCUCUGUACUGUUGGUGCUUCUGCCAGUUGGGAUUGUUGGAGCUGAUUCAUAUGGAGUUUCAGUGAUGGAGGGAGAUCCAGUCACUCUACCCACCAAUGUUACAAAAACCCAACAGGAAGAUGUUAAAUAUUAUUUCAACAACACUCUUAUCGCUCAACUCACUGGAGAUCUCAGUUUUGCUUGCACUGAUGUGCAGUGUAAUAAAGUGAAUGAGAGAUUCAGAGGCCGACUGAAGCUAGACUAUGAAACUGGAACUCUGACCAUCAUGAACACCACAAGCACAGACUCUGGAGAUUAUCAUCAAGAGAUCAUCGGCAGCGGCACCAUCCAUGAAAAUAUCUUCAAUGUUUCUGUCCAUAGUGAGUCACUUUUUAAUCACAUCCCAGUGUAUUGCUGAUAUCUGAUUUCUUUUUGCCUGCUUUCUCAUUAUGCAGAUCUUUUAUGAACUUUUCCUGUGUGUAGAUUUUUUUUUUCUCUAGAAUGAUUUCAAAUUGAUUAGCCUAUUUGGUGUCUUUAACCUCAUGAUUGAUGAAAACAAACAACAUUAAAGUGCAAGCUGGGUACCAAAUAUACUAAAUAAAGUUACAUAGACAAUGUAACUUUUUAGACAGUUGUUGUCACAAGACCAUGCAUGGAGCUUUCUUUCCAAAAUGACCGUAAAUCAUCUGUUGGUUUGUGUUUCAGAUGUUUCUGCUACUAAAAGAGAUGUAGUCAAGAAAAUGUCAGAGAAGGAGGGAGAAUCUGUCACUUCAGAUUCUGGUAAUAAAUUAAUAAUGCAAUCAAUAAUUUUAUUACUUUGAUGGCUUGUUGUUAUCUUGUUAUUGAUACAUUCUAUCUUUAUCAGUUUCAGUUCUGUCUUUAGGUGCUGUAGCCGGAAUGUCUUGUUGUUAUUGCUGCUGUUGCUGGUGGGAUUUACUAUCACAGGUGCCAAACAACAGUUUUAACAUGAUGAAAAUAUAAAG
rnacentral:lncRNA from 1 species